rnacentral:rRNA from 1 species
UACGAAGGGGGCUAGCGUUGCUCGGAAUUACUGGGCGUAAAGCGCACGUAGGCGGCUUUCUAAGUCGGGGGUGAAAUCCUGGAGCUCAACUCCAGAACUGCCUUCGAUACUGGAGAGCUCGAGUCCGGGAGAGGUGAGUGGAACUGCGAGUGUAGAGGUGAAAUUCGUAGAUAUUCGCAAGAACACCAGUGGCGAAGGCGCUCACUGGCCCGGUACUGACGCUGAGGUGCGAAAGCCAGGGGAGCAAACGGG